rnacentral:lncRNA from 1 species
CCCAGAUUCACUGGAGAGCAAAGCCUACCAGAGUCCCUGUCAGCAGCACUGUUUCUAGAAGCUUCCACAUGAGUGGACAGCAUGGAGUCCUGGGGGCUAAUGAAACAGCAACGUCAGCAUGAGCACAGGCAGGGAGAGGCAAGAGGAGCAGAGUAAAGGGGAACGUUCUCUUCAUUCUUCCACCUGCCUGUCCCCCAGCCGACACGUCCCUUCCGUUCCCUGCAAGGCCAUUUCCAGGGAGGCUUACGAAGACAGCA